UGUAAUGCUGAUGUUUUUCUG
rnacentral:piRNA from 1 species